rnacentral:rRNA from 1 species
GAUGAACGCUAGCGACAGGCUUAACACAUGCAAGUCGAGGGGCAGCACGAUGUAGCAAUACUUUGGUGGCGACCGGCGCACGGGUGAGUAACGCGUAUGCAACCUACCUAUCAGAGGGGAAUAACCCGGCGAAAGUCGGACUAAUACCGCAUAAAACAGGGGCACCGCAUGGUGAUAUUUGUUAAAGAAAUUCGCUGAUAGAUGGGCAUGCGUUCCAUUAGGUAGUGGGUGAGGUAACGGCUCACCAAGCCGACGAUGGAUAGGGGAACUGAGAGGUUGGUCCCCCAUACUGGUACUGAGACACGGACCAGACUCCUACGGGAGGCAGCAGUGAGGAAUAUUGGUCAAUGGGCGAGAGCCUGAACCAGCCAAGUCGCGUGAAGGAAGAAGGAUUUAUGGUUCGUAAACUUCUUUUGCAGGGGAAUAAAGUGCAGGACGUGUCCUGUUUUGUAUGUACCCUGAGAAUAAGGAUCGGCUAACUCCGUGCCAGCCGCCGCAGUAAAAC